UGGGGAAUCUUGCGCAAUGGGCGAAAGCCUGACGCAGCGACGCCGCGUGCGGGAAGAAGGCCUUCGGGUUGUAAACCGCUUUCAGGAGGGAAGAAGCCACUCGGGUGAACAGCCCAGAGGGUGACGGUACCUCCAGAAGAAGCCCCGGCUAACUACGUGCCAGCAGCCGCGGUAAUACGUAGGGGGCAAGCGUUGUCCGGAUUCAUUGGGCGUAAAGAGCGUGUAGGCGGCCAGGUAGGUCGGUUGUGAAAACUGGAGGCUCAACCUUCAGAGGUCGACCGAAACCAUCUGGCUAGAGUCCGGGAGAGGAGAGUGGAAUUCCUGGUGUAGCGGUGAAAUGCGCAGAUAUCAGGAAGAACACCCGUGGCGAAAGCGGCUCUCUGGAACGGUACUGACGCUGAGACGCGAAAGCGUGGGGAGCGAACAGG
rnacentral:rRNA from 1 species